AUUGAACGCUGGCGGCAGGCCUAACACAUGCAAGUCGAACGAGUGGCGGACGCGUGAGUAAUGUCUGGGCAACUGCCUGCUGGAGGGGGAUAACUAAUGGCAACGGUAGCUAAUACCGAAUAACAUAAGAUGUGCCCAGAUGGAAUUAGCUUGUUGGUGGGGUCACGGCUCACCAAGGCGACGAUCCCUAGCUGGCUUGAGAGGAGGACCAGCCAACCGGGACUUGAGACACGGUCCAGACUCCUACGGGAGGAAGAAGUGGGGAACAUUGCACAAUGGGCGCAAGCCUGAUGCAGCCAUGCCGCUUGUAUGAAGAAUGCCUUGGGGUUGUAAAGUACGUUCAGCGGGGAGGCGUUACCCGCAGAAGAAGCACCGGCUAACUCCGUGCCAGCAGCCGCGGUAAUAC
rnacentral:rRNA from 1 species